rnacentral:lncRNA from 1 species
GUCACCCUUCUAAGCUGGAGCAGGAGAAAGCUUGCCUAAGAAAUUAUGUCCAAACCUGAAUCACACAAUGAGUCUUGACUGUUUCUCUAAGGGGUAUCGGUCCAGAGUUCCGUAGUUGGGGGUUUCUGCUGGGGCUGUGUGGAAGCAUAUUAUUUGAGCUAUUUGUAUCUCAUUAUUGAGAGAAGUUUGUCUGCUGCUCUGGGUUGUAGGCUUGGAGACUACCUCUUCACAGCUCACAUGGGCAGAUUUCCUAUUCCUCUUGUCCUUAGGAAUACUUCGUAAGACAGAAUGAUGACUGUCCAGGUUUUUCAGAGCCCUGCGCAGUGGGGAGAGCCUGCCUUGUCUUUUUGCUACCAUUGUACGCAGGACUGCUUUGUCUCAGCCGACAGAACCAGCAAGUCAGAAAGGUACACACGGAGGCCCGGUGGUGCCGGUCGGUGGGAGGCGCCGAGCGAAGCCACGGACCACAGGGGAGGAAGGGAAUGGCGCUCCGAAAUGAUGCGCACGGUGGCAGCGGGGCACGGGGGCUCUCCGUCUAACGAUCGGGAAAAUGACGCAGCUCCAGGCCGAUCCCAGAGCCUUCAGCUCCGUUCGUACAUUUGUGCAACUCUUACGGCGAACGGGAAAGCUGCCCCGGCAGGUACUUUAGGGCCGGGCACGAUGUGGAGAUUUAACAAGGAUCCUGAAGCUGGAGGCACACAAUGA